CAACCGCUCCGAGAGGGCGUCCCUGCAGGGCUUGCAUCACCCCCCCGGAGCCUCCUCUCACAUCGCCCCGGCUUGCGACACCUCCAUUUCUCGUCCCCCGCACAGAAGAGGGGUCCCUCGGCCCUCGACAGGGGUUGGGAGUCCAGGGGAAUCUUUGGUAACCGUCUCGCUGAAGGGAUGGGAGAAGAAAAAACAACCAACAGCCUCAGGCCGUUUGCUGUGGUCACAUCUUGGCAAGCUUGUCAUGAGAACCUGGAAGAAAAACAGGGACUUUUGCAAUGUUACGCUGUGCUGUAGGCUGAGAUGACUUUUCUAGCAGGUCCAUCCACUUAUUUAUUUAUUUAUUUUUGUGAGAGUUUGCAGCAAAACCCUUCCUGCGGCACUUGUUUUCUGUCAGUGGUGAAUUAAUUUUAAGUAUGUCCAAUUCACACGACCUCUGCAUGAAAAAAAAAAUAUAUCGUGACUGUCAUUUCUUAUACUAAACCUAGCAAGGGUGAAGAUGCAUUUCUUCUCUUUGCAUUCCAGAGAAUCCGUCCUGAAAUAAUUUACUUUCUAGUCUUAUUAUUCACGCCAAUAAAGACUGCUUUAUUCAUGCUAAUAA